rnacentral:lncRNA from 1 species
GUGGAAGGAUAUGGUGCAUAACCUGUUCCCUCCUCUUCAUCUGUGCUACUGCAUAUAAACACCCUAGGGAUCCCGCAGGGCAGCAGUUGGGGUAGCAGCAGCUGCUACUGAACGGGCAUGGACAGGUGAAAUGCCCGAGGCCCGCUGAGGGGGGGAAGGGGUGAUGACCAGGUGUUCUGAGAAGUGGGACUGAGCCUGGCUCUUUGGAAAGUCCCUGUCCAUGGGGGCCUGUUGCUGUCCUUUCCGUUCUGAAUCUUUCUGAUGUGCCAGGCUACGGCUGGGCAGAUGAAACCAUAUAACCCACAAAAUUGUCUCCACAGGUGAAUCCCCAGACACAGACAAAACGGAGGACUCUGGUGAAAGGAAACAGAACAAGGAUACCACACACACUGGAAUCAACGUGGUUAGAGCUUGGUAUGGGCUUGUUGACCAGGGGAAUAGAAGAGUGCCAAGAAUAAUUUUGAAACGGCUCAUUCGAACACAGCCUGGCUGGUUGUGAGUCCAGAAAAAGAACUUGUGCUCCAAUUGUUUUUGAAACAUGUUUUCUCGAAUGACCUUGCAUAGUCAAACUGUGGCUGAGUUGCAAUCAAGUGAGCUGCUUUGAAAUUCUUUAUGAAUGGUUCUGCCAGCACUGCGCAGUCCUGUUCAGUGGGACGUAGGUACAGCAAAUUCCUGAAAAAAGUAUUUAAAGCAACAUACCCCUUUUGGAGACCACAAGUUUUGCAGAGCGAGAAAAGAUGGGCAGUGAAUCGUGUCCUGUUGAGAAGAUGGCACCAGAGCCACUCCUGAAUUCCCAGGAAGCCCAAGUGAAACGCAAUGGAGAGACUUGUGUAGAUGUCACUACAUAUGGCAGAGAGAGAAGCAAAAGUUCUCCUAUAGGCUGUCUGUCAAGAGUCAAGACAUGGUCUCGUCCUUUCACAAUUCUGAGUGUGGUUCUCAAUAUCGUUCUCAUCAGUCUCUUUAUUGCGUGGUCAGUGAGAAAAUCUGAACUGUGUCUGGCUGAUCCUAAAUUCCCAGAGGCCUCAUGCCCGGGCGGCUGGGUCAGUUACCGAGAGAAAUGCUACUACUUCUCCGAGACGGAAGGGAACUGG